rnacentral:rRNA from 1 species
GACGAACGCUGGCGGCGUGCUUAACACAUGCAAGUCGAACGGAAAGGCCCUGCUUUUGUGGGGUGCUCGAGUGGCGAACGGGUGAGUAACACGUGAGUAACCUGCCCUUGACUUUGGGAUAACCUCAGGAAACUGGGGCUAAUACCGGAUAGGAGCUCCUGCUGCAUGGUGGGGGUUGGAAAGUUUCGGCGGUUGGGGAUGGACUCGCGGCUUAUCAGCUUGUUGGUGGGGUAGUGGCUUACCAAGGCUUUGACGGGUAGCCGGCCUGAGAGGGUGACCGGCCACAUUGGGACUGAGAUACGGCCCAGACUCCUACGGGAGGCAGCAGUGGGGAAUAUUGCACAAUGGGCGGAAGCCUGAUGCAGCAACGCCGCGUGCGGGAUGACGGCCUUCGGGUUGUAAACCGCUUUCGCCUGUGACGAAGCGUGAGUGACGGUAAUGGGUAAAGAAGCACCGGCUAACUACGUGCCAGCAGCCGCGGUGAUACGUAGGGUGCGAGCGUUGUCCGGAUUUAUUGGGCGUAAAGGGCUCGUAGGUGGUUGAUCGCGUCGGAAGUGUAAUCUUGGGGCUUAACCCUGAGCGUGCUUUCGAUACGGGUUGACUUGAGGAAGGUAGGGGAGAAUGGAAUUCCUGGUGGAGCGGUGGAAUGCGCAGAUAUCAGGGGGAACACCAGUGGCGAAGGCGGUUCUCUGGGCCUUUCCUGACGCUGAGGAGCGAAAGCGUGGGGAGCGAACAGGCUUAGAUACCCUGGUAGUCCACGCUGUAAACGGUGGGUACUAGGUGUGGGGUCCAUUCCACGGGUUCCGUGCCGUAGCUAACGCUUUAAGUACCCCGCCUGGGGAGUACGGCCGCAAGGCUAAAACUCAAAGGAAUUGACGGGGCCCCGCACAAGCGGCGGAGCAUGCGGAUUAAUUCGAUGCAACGCGUAGAACCUUACCUGGGUUUGACAUGGAUCGGGAGUGCUCAGAGAUGGGUGUGCCUCUUUUGGGGUCGGUUCACAGGUGGUGCAUGGCUGUCGUCAGCUCGUGUCGUGAGAUGUUGGGUUAAGUCCCGCAACGAGCGCAACCCUUGUUCACUGUUGCCAGCACGCUAUGGUGGGGACUCAGUGGAGACCGCCGGGGUCAACUCGGAGGAAGGUGGGGAUGACGUCAAGUCAUCAUGCCCCUUAUGUCCAGGGCUUCACGCAUGCUACAAUGGCUGGUACAGAGAGUGGCGAGCCUGUGAGGGUGAGCGAAUCUCGGAAAGCCGGUCUCAGUUCGGAUUGGGGUCUGCAACUCGACCUCAUGAAGUCGGAGUCGCUAGUAAUCGCAGAUCAGCAACGCUGCGGUGAAUACGUUCCCGGG